UCAUUUUUGUGAUGUGCAGCUCCGUUACCGAAUACAGUUGCAUAGUCACAAAAGUGAUC
rnacentral:pre_miRNA from 1 species